AUUUGUUGCACACAACUUCUACAAUCUCUAUGGACUUUAUACAAUGUACUUAAUAAUGAAAAGCACUGAAGAGAGAGGAAGAAACAGGGAAAAGGGAGACCAAGUCAUAUCAGGAUUUGAAUUUGAAAAUCAUCCAGGAAAUCAGGUAAAUCUGUUUUAUAAAUUUCCAGAUUUGGAAUCACAAAUUUACUAGGUAGCCAUACACUCAGUGCUGCCAAUUUCCAUUCUAGUUCAUCUCCAUUCUAUUUUUGUAUUUUUUGCUUCCUUUUCUUUUUCUUGUUUCCUCUUCCCUGCCUUUCUUUCCUCUAGAUGAUGCCUGGAAGUGUAUUAACUAUCCUGAGCUGACAACAUGCCGACCCACUAAUGGAAAAUUGUGACUAACACACCUGCCAGGUUACUAGAUUUUUCCCUUCAUAGAUAUUUUCUUGGUGCAUGUUUGAAUGAAUGGAUGAUUAAUUGAUAAGAUUUUAAAAGAGUUCGGUUGACACCAAUCAUAACUGGAAGCAAAAGAGAUUCAUCUGAGUUCUUUCAAAUUAUGCUUGCCUGACACCUUCUCCACUUCAACUUGUUGAAAGGCCCAGGGUGAAUCACCUGCCUGCACAAUAUAACAAAGGGAACAGCACAUGCACCCAUGGGCCUCUGCUAAUCUCUGGGCUGACCUCUGUUAGCCCCAUGGUUAUUCUGGUCUAGACAGGCUUAUGCUGAGAAAUACUUUACAUUUUCUGAAGACAAGUGUUAUGUAAUUCUGGUGCUUAGAGAAUACUUAAAUGAUUCUUCCAAAUUGUGCUCCUAAUUUCUGAAUGUCAUCAAACGUCAAACUAGUAUUUUUUAGUUUUGUGUAAUACAAAAGUAUCUCUGUUUUGUAUGAUAUAAAAGUAUUUUUUAGUUUCGGAUAACUGAAAAAUACAAAAGUCAUUUUUAAUUAGUUACCUGUCAUUGUAAACAUUCAGUUCCUGUUCUUUGAAAAGAUUUGUCUCUGUAGUUCUUCAAACAUUUAUAAUAAUCCAAGGGGAGCUAGAAAAUGUCAGGCACAAGGAGAUGGAGGACGUCUAAGUUAGGGUGCCCAGGCUUUAGAGAGCAACUUCAUUUAUGUGUUAGUUUGACACUGUAUCUGAGAUGCAGAGCAAGUAUGAUGAAAGCUUUUAAAAAAAAAUCCAACCAGACAGAUCAGAUUGACAGCAGAGGUAAAAUGUGACCCUUGUGCAGUCUGAUAAGUAACAUUUCUUAAACUUGUCACAUAAAACAUUCUGUUAUGCUUCAGGCUGUUGAAAAUAAUUUCAUGCACAGGAGCAUAGUCACCUGAGGCAAUUCUGUUGUUCUGCAACAGCCUUAGGACAAAUGAACAGCUUGGAGGUGGAAAUUUUGGGUUAUCAUAUGAUUGUAAUCAUUACCCAGACUGAACAAGAGUGAUUCGGUAGAGUGAGAACGAUAGCAAUGUGGAUUAACCUACUUUCACUUUUUAAUGACUAUUUCUUCUACCCCAAAGAUCAAAGAAUAUUUGUCAUUGAGAAAAUUUCAGAUGUUCUUUAAAAGGCACAUUUCUUUUUUAAAAAGCUGACCCGUUUUGUGUUUAUUCCACAAGAUUUUCAAAUGUAUUCUGUUGUAUCAACAAAUUUGCUCAAUCAUCUAGGAGAAAGGCUAACAAAUAAUUCAAGGACUUCAAAUGCUUUUAUGCAGAAGAGGGAAAAUACUCAAAUCACUUAGGUAUUUGCAUACAGAUUUCCUGUGAUACUUCCAAACCUAAGUGCUUCCCUGAAUAUUGACCUUGAGAAAGGGGCUGGAAUUGAAGACACAGAGGGAGCCAGGGGAACUGACAAAAGCUCUUAUGCUUUCUCUCUUAUCUCAGAGAUAUGGCAUUUUACCUACGGAGAAGUGGUCAUUAUGAGACGUUUUUUCCCCCAUAUAUAGUUCAGUUGAAAUUAGUGAUAGGAGCAUAAUCAGAAUCAAUUAUUGAUUAUAGAAAGUUCAGCAUUAAAUGAAAGCAGGGAGAAGGUGAUUGAGCUGCUACAUUUCCCCAGUGUUUCCUUCUGUGUUUAUAGUAGUUACGGAAUCACCUCACACAUCCCCAGAAAGUUUAAGAUUGAUAAGAGGAAAAGACACUCAGGUGUUUUUUGUUUGUUUGAUUGAUUGAUUGAUUGAUUGAUUUUGCGACAGGGUUUCACUCUGUUGCCCAGGCUGGAGUGCAGUGGCAUGAUCAUGGCUCACUGCAGUCUCAACAUCCCGGGUUCAAAUGAUUCUCCUGUCUCAGACUACAGAGUAACUGGGGUUAUGGACGUCUGCCACCAUGCCUGGCUAAUUUUUUUUGUAUUUUUAUUAGAGACGGGAUUUCACUAUGUUGCCCAGGCUGGUCUCAAACUCUUGACCUCAAGUGAUCCAUUCACCUCAGCCUCUCAGUGUUGGGAUUACAGGCAUGAGCCACCACGCCUAGCCCACUCAGGCGUUUUUCAGCUGAACUAUUGUCUCUAAUUUCCCCAGAACAAUCACAGAAUAUUUCUCUGAACCCAUUAGCUGAACAAUGCUAUAAAAAUUUGGUGCUGGGAUAUUAUAAAUUAUGAAUUAGAUGGUCAAAACAUUACUUUGAAUUUCAUCAUAUUGUUGAAUUGUAUUUUUUUGCCCAAACAUUAAAUAAUGGCUAAGAUAAUUAAUGAGAAAUGAACGUAUACAUUUAUCAACUGUGCUUUUGUUUAACCUUUUAAGUAGCCCUGUUUUUAAUUGAGUAUUGCUGUCUGGGUUUCACAAGCACCAAACUUUAGCAUACUAACAAUUUUAAUCAUUAGUCAGACUUGGUCUUGAGCUGUAACAUAUGAAACCCAGUAGAAAUGUGGUAGGAUUAGGGUAGGACACGGUGGCUCAGCC
rnacentral:lncRNA from 10 species